GUGCAAGUAGCAUAUGUUGUGCAAAACACACUGUAAAUCUCCAUGACUUCUGAGAAAAGACAUUUAAUGCACAGUCACCCCUCCAAAAAAAAAAAAAAAAAGUUAUAUUUGACACAGAUAAAAAUAAAUAAAUCAGACUACCUUUUUAACACAAAACAUAUUCCAGACAAGAUUACACUGUGUCAAAAUAGGUCAAUUCGUAAGCACCAGCUAGAAUUUAACGGUGGGUGUGAUUAGGAGCAAUUGCUGUCAUAAUAGCAUUUUGCGCUACACUACACCAUGGCGACAUUACAAUCUUCAUGUAUCUGGUGCUCAAAGAAAAGAUGGCAGAAAAAAGCAGUGUGUAUAGCAGCAGUUCCAUCUUUACCAUGCGAGAGGGUGACAUAACGUAGCAGUUACAACAUUGAUAUCCCAAUAAACACGGACUCAAAAUGACAAAUUCACAAAAUGCACAGAGUAAGAAAACCAUAAAUCCAUCCAGUUCUUCCUACAUACAGAUUUGUUAUGCCUUUAGCUCAAGAUACUGCAAAAAUAAUAUCCAUUGCUAUUUUCCGUGCAAGAUAAAUUACAUAAGGGAAUAUGCAGAAUUUUGAACGGUUACAAUCGCUGCACUGGACCCAUUAUAAAUAUAUAUUUAUUAUAUAAUCAUUUUUGUAGAGGGUAAAUGGAUCGGGGAAGGAGUUUGAGCAAAGGUUGUAACCCUAACAUAACUUUGUUUCCAAAAGAGAGCCUGCCAUUAAAGUGGAUCUGUCGUUUUAUUCUUCACAUGAGACAAAUUACAAAAUUCUGCCUAUAUUUUCUAAAAAGUGUGUUCAGUUGUUGUGUUGACACUUUACAUACUUUCUUCCUGAAGGUAAAGGCUUAAUCAAAAUGUGAACUAGCUUCUAGUACAUUCCCCUUUUUCUCACAAUAACUCGCCUUAGACUAACCACAGCUGUCAGGUUGUGUGUGUGCCUUGAUAAUAAUGCUUAUUCAGCCACCAAUCAAGUUACACAGCAGCAGUCAAUUAAGCUUUAGAUAGUGCUAUCAGGAAAAAGUAAUUAACAGUUUUAAAUUUUGAUUUAUCUCCUAAGUGUGCACAACAAAUAUUUGUAAACAAAACAAACCAGGAGAGGGGAACACACAAAAUAAGGAAUGUUAUUAAGACAGGUAAAUAUAAAAAAAAGACAGUUCCACUGAUACUACAAAAACUUAAAUGGGGAUUGUUAUUCUUUGCUACACCUAAUGAUGCAGCUCUGUUAAUGUAUGUUCCUUAGUUGCAUUUUGAAUCUAGGAGAUCUAAAUGAAUGUAAACAUGUGUCACAAGGGAAGGGAAUUUAAAUAACCACAGUUACAUAAAUGUAUGACUUUUUGACAUGGCACAGGUAGAAAUAUUUGGCACUUUGCAUUCAAGUAAAAAAUAC